rnacentral:sRNA from 1 species
CGCAGGGCGCGGGCUCCCGCGCCGCCGCUGCGUCCUCCCCGGCCGCGGGCGAGCCGCUGCAGAGGGAGCGUCGCGCCGGGGCGGAGUGCGGGCUCGCGCGGCAAGUGCGCGCCGAGGUCACGAAAUGGAUUCGAGUGAACCGGAGACCCCGAAAACGGAAGCGCAGGGAGAAGGAAGAGGUGUUUGAAAAGUUUUGAUUUGAAGUUCCUUUAAAGGCUGUUGGAGCUUUUGCAAAUACCCAGCUAAUGAAAGGCACUUAAGAUUGGGCCCAUCUGCAUCAUCACAUUGAAGUUUUCUGUCUAAAGGAAGGUUCCAGCUACCUGUUAUCCUUUUGCUAAACACAGUUGCAGUGUUGCAGUGUAUUUCAUGACAAAAGUGCACUCUAGUUUUCUGUGAAAUGAUUAUUUUCUCUGAAAUGAUUCUUGGUCAUGUUGAGCUUCUAAAUGUUAAAGAGAACAUAGUGCUUUUGACCUGUGGAAAUCUCAUCUUGGUACCAUGGUGCUGCACAGACCAUCAGGAAGAACUGAAAAGUUCAGGCAACUUGAGAAAAUAAAGUCACCACCAGCAAGAAGCUGUCUAAAAUAACUGGAAGAUUAUAACCCAAGCACGUGGAGGAGUGUGCUAGUGAGUAGAAUGUUAUGAAAGCUACUAGAGGUCCUCCAUAGAUGCAUGUGCUAGUCCUAAGGAGAAGGAAGAGGAGAAGGAUUGCCACGGAGGAACACCUGAAGUUUCAGUUGAGCACUUUGUUUGGAAAGUUGUCCAAGGCUGGAGUUGUGAGAGCUGGGAAAGACCUCACAAGCUUCUCUAAUUCAAGUCCUUGUUUCACAUAUGAGAAUGCAGAGGCCCUGAGAAGUUGAUUCCCAGGCCUGCAUGCUGGCCUGGAACUAGAGCCUGGGUCUCCUCUUGCUUUUUCCAGCUGUCUGCCCAGGUAGCUCCCCAAGGCAGGCGUGGAGGCAGAGCUGCUUUGGGUUCCAGGGGGCAGGUUUGGGCUGGGGCCUGCUGUGUGACCCCAGUCUCCCAUCUUGGAUUGAAGCUACAUCGCUGUGUGCAUCUAACUCUUGAUUCACGGUCUGACCGACGCCUUGGUUUCUGGAGAACUGCCCUCGUUUAUGGAAGAGUCACUGUCAUCAGGAGCCAUCCCAGGGAGAGGCUCAGUGGGAAGUGUAAAGGUGGAGCAAGCAAACCGGCUCCAGAAGAGAAGGCGAAGAAGGACUGUUUCUGUUUAGAUUUGCUUAACCUCAUUUUCACUUUCUUGGGAACCCCUGAUGGAGUUCAAGGUCAUAGAAGAGAAGAAGUCAGACACUGCUACAGGCCUCUUGCUCUUGGUUCAGAUUAUUCAAUGGGAGGGGAGAAGAGAGUAGUCGCAAGUGAUUGUUGUAGAUUUUGUCUCAGCUUUUUUUUUCUUCUUUGUAUCAAACCUGUUUUGAGAUCAUACAGUGUUACAGAGAAAGAGAGGAGGCAUAUUAUAAACAUGUGUGGACUUCAGUGUUAUUCCUUCUCUUCAAAAUGAUGUUCCAGGUGUCUAGAGGGUGAGGUAUGUCAUUUACAUGAAGGUUAAGAAUAAAACAGAAAGUGCCU